UGGGGAAUAUUGGGCAAUGGGCGCAAGCCUGACCCAGCAACGCCGCGUGAAGGAAGAAGGCCCUCGGGUUGUAAACUUCUUUUAACAGGGACGAAACAAAUGACGGUACCUGUUGAAUAAGCCACGGCUAACUACGUGCCAGCAGCCGCGGUAAUACGUAGGUGGCAAGCGUUAUCCGGAUUUACUGGGUGUAAAGGGCGUGUAGGCGGGGAAGCAAGUCAGAUGUGAAAUUCCAGGGCUCAACCCUGGAACUGCAUUUGAAACUGUUUUCUUGAGUGAUGGAGAGGCAGGCGGAAUUCCGUGUGUAGCGGUGAAAUGCGUAGAUAUACGGAGGAACACCAGUGGCGAAGGCGGCCUGCUGGACAUUAACUGACGCUGAGGCGCGAAAGCGUGGGGAGCAAACAGGAUUAGAUACC
rnacentral:rRNA from 1 species